rnacentral:rRNA from 1 species
GAUGAACGCUGGCGGCGUGCCUAAUACAUGCAAGUCGAGCGAACGGACGAGAAGCUUGCUUCUCUGAUGUUAGCGGCGGACGGGUGAGUAACACGUGGAUAACCUACCUAUAAGACUGGGAUAACUUCGGGAAACCGGAGCUAAUACCGGAUAAUAUUUUGAACCGCAUGGUUCAAAAGUGAAAGACGGUCUUGCUGUCACUUAUAGAUGGAUCCGCGCUGCAUUAGCUAGUUGGUAAGGUAACGGCUUACCAAGGCAACGAUGCAUAGCCGACCUGAGAGGGUGAUCGGCCACACUGGAACUGAGACACGGUCCAGACUCCUACGGGAGGCAGCAGUAGGGAAUCUUCCGCAAUGGGCGAAAGCCUGACGGAGCAACGCCGCGUGAGUGAUGAAGGUCUUCGGAUCGUAAAACUCUGUUAUUAGGGAAGAACAUAUGUGUAAGUAACUGUGCACAUCUUGACGGUACCUAAUCAGAAAGCCACGGCUAACUACGUGCCAGCAGCCGCGGUAAUACGUAGGUGGCAAGCGUUAUCCGGAAUUAUUGGGCGUAAAGCGCGCGUAGGCGGUUUUUUAAGUCUGAUGUGAAAACCCACGGCUCAACCGUGGAGGGUCAUUGGAAACUGGAAAACUUGAGUGCAGAAGAGGAAAGUGGAAUUCCAUGUGUAGCGGUGAAAUGCGCAGAGAUAUGGAGGAACACCAGUGGCGAAGGCGACUUUCUGGUCUGUAACUGACGCUGAUGUGCGAAAGCGUGGGGAUCAAACAGGAUUAGAUACCCUGGUAGUCCACGCCGUAAACGAUGAGUGCUAAGUGUUAGGGGGUUUCCGCCCCUUAGUGCUGCAGCUAACGCAUUAAGCACUCCGCCUGGGGAGUACGACCGCAAGGUUGAAACUCAAAGGAAUUGACGGGGACCCGCACAAGCGGUGGAGCAUGUGGUUUAAUUCGAAGCAACGCGAAGAACCUUACCAAAUCUUGACAUCCUUUGACAACUCUAGAGAUAGAGCUUUCCCCUUCGGGGGACAAAGUGACAGGUGGUGCAUGGUUGUCGUCAGCUCGUGUCGUGAGAUGUUGGGUUAAGUCCCGCAACGAGCGCAACCCUUAAGCUUAGUUGCCAUCAUUAAGUUGGGCACUCUAAGUUGACUGCCGGUGACAAACCGGAGGAAGGUGGGGAUGACGUCAAAUCAUCAUGCCCCUUAUGAUUUGGGCUACACACGUGCUACAAUGGACAAUACAAAGGGCAGCGAAACCGCGAGGUCAAGCAAAUCCCAUAAAGUUGUUCUCAGUUCGGAUUGUAGUCUGCAACUCGACUACAUGAAGCUGGAAUCGCUAGUAAUCGUAGAUCAGCAUGCUACGGUGAAUACGUUCCCGGGUCU